CCUACGGGUGACAGCAGUGAGGAAUAUUGGUCAAUGGCCGGAAGGCUGAACCAGCCAAGCCGCGUGAAGGACGAAGGUGCCAAGCAUUGUAAACUUCUUUUGUCAAGGGACAAAAUCAGGCUCGAGAGCCUGACCGAGUGUACAUGAAGAAAAAGCAUCGGCUAACUACGUGCCAGCAGCCGCGGUAAUACGGGGGAUGCGAGCGUUAUCCGGAUUUAUUGGGUUUAAAGGGUGCGUAGGCGGACUGUUAAGUCAGCGGUAAAAGCCCGGGGCUCAACCCCGGCGCGCCGUUGAAACUGGCGGGCUUGAGAUGUCGAGAGGUAUGCGGAAUGCGCAGUGUAGCGGUGAAAUGCUUAGAUAUAGCGCAGAACUCCGAUGGCGAAGGCAGCAUACCGGCGGCGAUCUGACGCUGAGGCACGAAAGCGUGGGUAGCGAACAGGAUUAGAUACCCCGGUAGUC
rnacentral:rRNA from 1 species